AGCGAUGGAUGGGAGCUUGCUCCCUGAAGUUAGCGGCGGACGGGUGAGUAACACGUGGGCAACCUGCCUAUAAGACUGGGAUAACUUCGGGAAACCGGAGCUAAUACCGGAUACGUUCUUUUCUCGCAUGAGAGAAGAUGGAAAGACGGUUUACGCUGUCACUUAUAGAUGGGCCCGCGGCGCAUUAGCUAGUUGGUGAGGUAAUGGCUCACCAAGGCGACGAUGCGUAGCCGACCUGAGAGGGUGAUCGGCCACACUGGGACUGAGACACGGCCCAGACUCCUACGGGAGGCAGCAGUAGGGAAUCUUCCGCAAUGGACGAAAGUCUGACGGAGCAACGCCGCGUGAACGAAGAAGGCCUUCGGGUCGUAAAGUUCUGUUGUUAGGGAAGAACAAGUACCAGAGUAACUGCUGGUACCUUGACGGUACCUAACCAGAAAGCCACGGCUAACUACGUGCCAGCAGCCGCGGUAAUACGUAGGUGGCAAGCGUUGUCCGGAAUUAUUGGGCGUAAAGCGCGCGCAGGUGGUUCCUUAAGUCUGAUGUGAAAGCCCACGGCUCAACCGUGGAGGGUCAUUGGAAACUGGGGAACUUGAGUGCAGAA
rnacentral:rRNA from 1 species